GAAGGCUGCAUUAUUGUGAUUAUCAUCAUCGCCAUUUUUGUUGAGCCCUCUUUCCUUUCCUCGCCAUUUCUUUUACAAUCCCCACAGCCCACACCUCUCUUUCUCUCUCUCAACCCCCUCUUACCUUUUCUGUUUGGCUGGAGAGGAAGAGAAACGGAGAAGAAUCAUCACCAGAUGGGAUCGAGCAUCAGCCGAACGAGCUCGACCUCCCAUUCCCUCCAAGCCCCUCGCCCCACCAUGAGGCGCUCUAUCUCCUCCCUCCUCAUCUGCGGCGCCUCUUCCACCCAGAUGGAAGAUUAUCCAGCUGAAUUACUGGUAAAUUCUGCAGAACAUGGUCGUAGAAAAAAGUUGAAAUUCCCAAUAAGAAAUUCUGAUUUUUCAGAGGGAAAUGGAGAUGACCUGAUCAGUAUCAAAAGUGGAAGAGUGGUCUCACCUGGAAGAUUUUUGAGCGCAAGCCAUGAUGAUCCUACUGAUGGAGCGAAAUGGGUGUCUAAAAGUAGGGAGUUGGUUCCUUCUUGUCAAUCCAUUGACAGCAAGACAUGUGAUGGAACUGCUAGUAGUUCCUAUGGAGGCCAACCAUCUCCCAUUUUUGUAUCUGGAAAUGAAAUGUCUAGUAUUGAUAAUAUGAAUGGCAUAAAUUGCAACAUGAAAGGUGACGCAUCUCGAAUUGGUCAAGGAUUCAAUAGCUCAAGCGGUGUAUAUUGUGAUGCUCUUCAAGAAUCUUUUUUGGAUGAAGUUUCAGUUGAAAAUAAUGUCUCUUCGGAAAUCAAUUACUCUAGUUCGGACUUUGGAUCUUCUUUGGUUUCUGAUUCAUCUUUGGAUUUCCAUUUAUUGAGAGACAAUAUUCAUCAGGAGGCAACACCUCAAGAUGUGGAAAGGGAACAGAUUAGACAAGCUGAGAAUCUACUUCAUGUCGACAUGGUGAGUACAUCAAAUACUUCGCCUGUUAGUUCUGCUGAAAUAAGCAGCCGUGAGACUAGAAGGAGUAGUAGAAGAUUAUUUUGGGAUGCAUUUUCAAGACGCAGUUCUAGGAGGCAUGCAGAUUCCAGAACAUUUUUGUUUUCAUCUUCUGGUUCUGAUCAUUUGAGAUCUCCAGACAGACAGCUCCUCGAUUUUAGUGGUGGCUUUAUUGAUGAUGAGUUUGUAGGAGAUUUAGGUUCUCGUGGAAGUAGAUCUCCAGGCGCUAAUGAUCAUUAUUUGAACCCCAGACUUGAGCUCUGGGAUAGACAUGGCGGUACUCUUGAUUCCACAGAUUAUCCACCCCCAGCUUGUCCCCGGGGAGUACAUGCUAAUGGGUCAUGCUUGUGCCAAACCGGUUCAUUAGCUGAAGAAUCUGGUCCACGUACUGGCAUUUCUCGGAUAGUUAUGCUGGCAGAAGCACUGUUCGAGGUACUUGAUCAAAUUCAUCAACAGCCACUGUCGCUUUCCUUGUCAGUGGCCUCAGUUCCUGCUCCAGAAUCAGUUGUUGAUUCUUUUCUGGUGAAGACACAUGGGAAGUCAGAAAAAUUGGAAUCUGCAGAUGAUGUAUCACAGUGUUAUAUAUGCCUGGCUGAGUAUGAGGAAGGAGACAAAAUACGAGUUCUUCCAUGCCAUCACGAGUAUCAUGUUUCCUGUGUGGACAAAUGGCUUAAAGAAAUACACGGUGUGUGCCCACUCUGCAGGGGAGAUGUUAGCCUGGCUUCCACAGAGGGCUAAGAUUCAUUUAAAGUGGUUAGUUUUGUACAUAUUUGUUUGAUAAGAUGGGUCUUGAAGACCAUGUACCUUGAUGAAACACUUGUCCAUUUAUCUCUGGGAUCAUUGCUGAUUCCAAUAGCAAAAUCUUGGUUGAUAGUGAAGUUAGUUAAUGAGUUGUAAAUCAGAGCAAGGAAAGACGACAGCAUUGCCAAAACUUGUAUCAUGUCUUACACUGGGAAUCUCUAUGGUUUAAGGCCAUUUCUCAGUAGCUGAAAAGUGAACCAGAUAGCGUUACUUGGGGAAUAGCUUGUUCAAGUCGACUGCCUUGUCGUCUGGAAUCCUCGUUUGGUUGGAUUCAAUAUCAUCAUCUAUGAGCAUAGAAUAAUAUCACAGGGCAAAAUGUUCAAAACCUAUCGCUUUUGAAACUGGGUUUGUUACGUUAGAUGAGCGUCUGCUUCUCUUCUAAUUUACGAGAGUUGCUUCUUUAUGUUCUACACUACAACCUACAGUAAAUUUUCAAGCAAUCAAGCUUAUAUUUGCGA